CAGUCGUGCCGGCGUUGGAUUCAGCCUGCUUCGCGGAGCAGGCGUAUUUCCGCGCAUGGCAGGUCAGCGUCAGUUUUGCGCGGCGUGAAAAGGCUCGGGUAAGGUAGCUCUCUUCGGGGAGUGUUAUAGACCUGGGCAGAUGCGCUGCGCGGGACUGAGGAUUGCAGCGGACACCCCGUGGGGGCCGGCGACCGAACCCUGCUCGGCCACCCUCGUUCGAUAGCGUGCUAGCGGACGCGGGAGCGGCAGUGCACCGGACAGGCAAGCCAG
rnacentral:rRNA from 1 species